GUUAAGCCCUCGGCGACCGGCUCAGUAACGCACAGUCAACCUGCCCUAGAGUGGGGAAUAACCUCGGGAAACUGAGGAUAAUGCCCCAUAGGUCUCUAUUUCUGGAAUGAUUUGAGGCUCAAAGAUUUAUCGCUCUAGGAUGGGACUGUGUCCUAUCAAGCUGUUGGUGGGGUAACGGCCCACCAAACUUGUGACGGGUAUGGGUCUUGGGAGAGAUAGCCCAGAGUUGGGGACUGAAACAAGGCCCCAGGCCCUACGGGGUGCAGCAGGUGCGAAAUCUCCACAAUGCACGCAAGUGCGAUGGGGGAACUCUGAGUGCCAACCCUUUGGGUUGGCUUUUCUUGAGUUUAAAAAGCUCAAGGAAUAAGGGCUGGGCAAUAUCGGUGCCAGCAGCCGCGGUAAUCCCGGAGGCCCGAGUGGUGAUCACUUUUACUGGGCUUGAAGCGUCCGUAGCUGGACUAUUCCGUCCUUGGUUAAAUCCCAAAGCUUAACUUUGGGACUGCUGAGGGUACCAAUAGUCUUGGGACCGGGAGAGGACGGGGGUAUUGCGCGGGUAGGGGUAAAAUCCGUUAAUCCGCGUAGGACCACCGGUAGCGAAGGCGCCCGUCUGGUACGGGUCCGACAGUGAGGGACGAAAGCCAGGGUAGCCAAUCGGAUUAGAUACCCGAGUAGUCCUGGCCGUAAACGAUGCGAACUGGGUGCAGCAUACCCUUCGUGGAGUAUGCGGUGCCGAAGGGAAACCGUUAAGUUCGCCGCCUGGGGAGUACGAUCGCAAGAUUGAAACUUAA
rnacentral:rRNA from 1 species